UACGGGGGGGGCAAGCGUUGUUCGGAAUUACUGGGCGUAAAGGGCUCGUAGGUGGCCAACUAAGUCAGACGUGAAAUCCCUCGGCUUAACCGGGGAACUGCGUCUGAUACUGGAUGGCUUGAGUUUGGGAGAGGGAUGCGGAAUUCCAGGUGUAGCGGUGAAAUGCGCAGAUAUCAGGAAGAACACCGAUGGCGAAGGCAGUGGGCUGGGCCGGUACUGACGCUGAGGAGCGAAAGCGUGGGGAGCGAACAGG
rnacentral:rRNA from 1 species